rnacentral:rRNA from 1 species
UUUAAAGUUGAAAGACGGACCUUUGCGUCACUUGUAGAAGGGCCUGCGGCGCAUUAUCUAAUUGGUGGGGGAAAGGCCCACCAAGGGGACGAUGGGUAACCCACCCGAGAGGGGGGACGGCCCCCCUGGGGCUGAAACACCGCCCCAACUCCUACGGGAGGGAACAGUAAGGAAUCUUCCCCAAUGGGGGAAAACCUGAAGGAGCAACGCCCCGUGGGUGAUGAAGGUUUUCGGAUCCUAAAACUCUGUUGCCAAGGAAGAAAGCCUGCUAGAGUAACUGGGCGCAAAGUGACGGUACCUGUGAUAAAAGCCCCGGCUAAAUACGUGGCAACAGCCGCGGUAAUACCUAGGGGGCAAGCGUUGUCCGGAAAUAUUGGGGGUAAAGCGCGCGCAGGCGGUUUUCUAAAUCUGGUGUUUAAACCCCCCGCUCAACUCCGGGUCGCACUGUAAACUGUGGGACUUGUGUGCGGAAAAGAAGAGUGGAAUUCUUCCUGUAGCGGUGAAAUGCGUAGAUAUAUGUAGGAAAACCCCUGUCGAAGGCGACUCUCUGUGGUGUAUAUGACACUGAGGCGCGAAAGCGUGUGGAGCACACAGAAUUAUAUACACCGGGUAGACCACGCCGUAAACAAUGAAUGCGAGCUGUGAUGGGGGGCUAUACCCCUGCUGCCGAAGGUAACACAUUAAACAUUCCUCCCGGGGAGAAUAGGCGCACGACUGUAAAUCCCAGAGUAUACGGGGGACCCCCCCCAAACGGUGGUAGAAGUGGGUUUUUCUUAGCAACGCGAAGAA